CAUGAGCUGCGCAUCGUUUGCUCGCUAAAACCCUGGAUGUGCGGGUGCGCCUGUGUCCUCCGCGCUGCCAGAGCGCCAUCGCAGCGUUUCAGAGAGGAGAGGAAUUCCAGCAUGCGGGCAUUUCCUGCCGCUGCACCUUCAGCAUAAACCGCAUCUUUUGCGUGAGAACCCGCAAACAGGACUUUAAGAUCCGGGAGGACAGGACGCGCUGACCCGGCAUCCUGCGUCAGGGAGGUGGGCUAGGUGUGGAGCAGCAGCAGCCUCUCCGUGGGUUCACGUCUCCCACGCAGAGAACGUCCUCUUAAGCCGGAAUGAAACGGCGACUCUGAGGAAAACCGCUUUGUUUCCAGGUGGGCGAGGAACCGAUGGCUGGUGGCAUGCCGUUGUCGUUUUGUGGCAACAACAAGGUUUCUAAUGCCUACAGCGUGGACAACGGCGUGCUGAACAAUGGCUGCUUUGUGGAUGCUCUCAACCUGGUUCCUCAUGUCUUCCUGCUCUUCAUCACCUUCCCCAUCCUCUUCAUUGGUUGGGGCAGCCAGAGCUCCAAGGUGCAGAUCCAUCACAACACGUGGCUUCACUUCCCGGGACACAACAUGCGCUGGAUCCUCACCUUCCUGCUGCUCUUCAUCCACGUGUGCGAGUUUGCAGAAGGCAUCGUCUCCAACACGAUCAUGAGCACCAACCACCUCCACCUCUUCAUGCCCGCCUUCAUGGGCUUCAUCGCUGCCACCACCUCAGUGGUUUACUACCACAACAUAGAGACGUCCAACUUCCCCAAAUUGCUGCUGGUCCUCUUCAUCUACUGGGUGUUGGCCUUCAUCACCAAGUCCAUCAAGCUGUGGAAGUUUGCAGAGUUUGGCAUCAGGUUCAAGUACCUGAGGUUCUGCAUCACGGCCCUGUUGGUGAUCCUCUACGGACUCCUGAUGGCCGUGGAGAUCAACGUGAUCCGAGUCAGGAAAUACGUCUUCUUCACCAACCCUCAGAAGGUGAAGCCCCCAGAGGAUCUGCAGGAUCUGGGGGUCCGCUUUCUGCAGCCGUUUGUCAAUCUGCUCUCUAAGGCGACGUACUGGUGGAUGAACCCCCUCAUCAUCGGAGCCCAUAAGAGGCCCAUAGAGCUGAAGAAGAUCGGGAAGCUGCCCAUCGCCAUGAGAGCGCUGACCAACUACCUGAGGCUGAAGGACGCCUACGAGGACCAGAGGACGGGAGAAGACCCGGACCGGCCGCCCUCCAUCUGGCGCUCCAUGUACCGAGCCUUCGGCCGGCCCAUCCUGCUCAGCAGCACCUUCCGCUACCUGGCCGACCUGCUGGGCUUCGCCGGGCCUCUGUGCAUCUACGGCAUCGUGCGUAACCUGGAGGUGCAGGACAACGCCACGUCGGCCACCAAGACCACGGAAAACUAUUUUGGCGUCUACUUCAUGCACACCACUGAGCUCCUGGAGAACAGCUCGGUCCUGGCCGUCCUUCUCUUCCUGGCACUGGUUCUGCAGAGAACCUUCCUGCAGGCGUCCUACUACGUCACCAUCGAGACGGGCAUCAACCUGCGGGGCGCGCUGCUGGCGAUGAUCUACAACAAGAUCCUGCGUCUGUCCACCUCCAACAUGUCCAUGGGGGAGAUGACUCUGGGCCAGAUCAACAACCUGGUGGCCAUCGAGACCAACCAGCUCAUGUGGUUCCUCUUCCUCUGCCCCAACCUCUGGGCCAUGCCUGUACAGAUCGUGAUGGGAGUCAUUCUGCUCUACAACUUUCUCAGCUGGAGUGCCUUGGUUGGAGCGUCGGUCAUCGUUCUGUUGGCUCCGGUUCAGUACCUCAUCGCUACCAAGCUGGCAGAAACACAGAAAAGCACGCUGGAACACUCCACAGACCGCCUGAAGCAGACCACAGAGAUCCUGAAGGGAAUCAAGCUGCUGAAGCUGUACGCCUGGGAGGACAUCUUCUGCGACAGCGUGGAGCAGACCAGAGGCCAGGAGCUCACCAGCCUCAGGACCUUCGCUUUCUACACCUCCAUGUCCAUUUUCAUGAACGCUGCCAUUCCCAUUGCCGCCGUUCUUGCUACGUUCGGGGUGCAUCACUUCCUCACCAACAGCAUCCCCAGUCCCUCUCAGGCCUUCGCUGCGCUGGCGCUGUUCCACAUCCUGGUCACGCCGCUCUUCCUGCUCUCCACGGUGGUCAGGUUUGCCGUGAAGGCCCUCGUCAGUGUCCAGAAGCUUGGCGAGUUUCUCCAGAGUGAUGAAAUCGGAGAUGACAGCUGGAGGAACGGAGACAUCUCCGUUUCCCUGGAUGUAGGGAAGAAAAACCUGGGGAUGACCAAAGCCAUCAACAGGAAGCAGCCGAUGCGAUACCAGAUGGACAACUACGAGCAGCCGAGCCGGCGGGCCAUGAGACCCUCGGAGACGGAGGAUGUGGCCGUAAAGGUGAGCAACGGCUCCUUCACCUGGGGAAACAACCAGCUGACGCUGUCAGACAUCAGCAUUCGCAUCCCCACAGGCCAGUUGACGAUGAUCGUAGGUCAGGUGGGAUGUGGCAAAUCCUCCCUGCUGCUGGCCAUGCUUGGUGAGAUGCAAGCAGUCGCUGGAAUAGUUUACUGGAGCAAGCUGCCUGAUUGUGAGAUGGCCCACGAAGGGAGCAUCAGUUGGUCAGAGAUUGAGGACUCUGAGGAGGACAUCGGGAGCAAGAACAGGAACUCUGUAGCCUACGCCGCUCAGAAGUCCUGGCUGCUUAACGCCACGGUGGAGGACAACAUCACCUUCGGCAGUCCCUUCAACAAACAGAGGUACAAAGCCGUGAUUGACGCCUGCUCUCUUCAGCCGGACAUCGACCUGCUGCCGUUCGGAGAUCAAACUGAGAUUGGGGAGAGGGGGAUCAACCUUAGUGGGGGUCAGAGGCAGAGGAUCUGUGUGGCCAGAGCUUUGUACCAGAACACAAACAUCGUCUUCUUGGACGACCCCUUUUCAGCGCUGGACAUCCACCUGAGCGAUCACCUGAUGCAGGAGGGGAUCCUCAAGUUUCUGCAGGACGACAAGCGAACGGUGGUCCUGGUCACCCACAAACUGCAGUAUCUGAUACACGCGGACUGGAUCAUAGCGAUGAAGGACGGCUCCGUUCUCAGGGAGGGAACCCUGAAGGACAUCCAGACUCAUGACACCGAGCUUUACGACCACUGGAAAACUCUGAUGAACAGGCAGGACCAGGAGCUGGAGAAGGACAUUCAGCAGGACAGUCAGACAACACUGGAGAGGAAGACGCUGAGGAGAGCUUUCUACUCCAGAGAGCCCAAGAAUCAGAUGGAUGAUGAGGAUGAAGAGGAGGAAGAGGAGGAAGAAGACGAUGAUAAUUUUUCCACCACCACCAGCAGAAGAUCUAAGAUCCCGUGGAAGAUGUGCUGGUGUUACCUUUCCUCUGGUGGCUUCUUCAUGGUCUUCCUGAUGGUUUCUUCCAAACUCCUCAAACAUUCGGUCAUUGUUGCCAUCGAUUACUGCUUGGCUCUCCUGACCUCCACCACAACCAAUCACACAGGAUCAGACACACAGAAUGGGACCAGCCUGAUCUACAGUGGCAACUCCACAGACUCGACUGAAGCUCCUCCACAACCCGAGCAGGACCUUUACUACCUGCACGUUUUUUUCGUCCUGUGUGCGGCUGGAAUCAUCUUAUGCCUCAUCACUUCCCUCUCUGUGGAGUUUCUGGGUCUUUCUGCAGCCACCAACCUGCACCACAACCUGCUCAACAAGAUCAUCCACGCUCCCAUCAGGUUUUUUGACGUCACUCCUCUGGGCCAGAUCCUCAACAGGUUCUCCGCCGAUACCAACAUCAUCGACCAGCACAUCCCUCCAACACUGGAGUCUUUGACCAGAUCCACCCUGCUCUGCCUGUCAGCCAUCGGGGUCAUAGCGUCCAUCACUCCUGCCUUCCUUGUCGCCUUGGUUCCCCUCGCCGUGGCCUUCUACUUCAUUCAGAAGUACUUCAGAGUCGCCUCCAAGGACCUGCAGGACCUGGAUGACUCCACGCAGCUGCCUCUGCUCUGCCACUUCUCUGAGACCGCCGAAGGUCUCACCACCAUCCGAGCUUUCAGACACGAGGCCAAGUUCAAGCAGCGCAUGUUGGAGCUGACGGACACCAACAACACCGCCUACCUGUUUCUGUCCGCUGCCAACCGCUGGCUGGAGGUCCGAACGGACUACCUGGGAGCGGCCAUCGUUCUGACCGUGGCCGUCGCCUCCAUCUGGUCCGGUCGGCCCGCUGGAGGCCUGGUGGGACUGGGCCUCACCUACGCCCUCACCAUCACUAACUACUUAAACUGGGUUGUGAGGAACUUGGCAGACCUGGAGGUCCAGAUGGCCGCCGUGAAGAAGGUCAACAGCUUCCUGGGAACAGAGUCCGAGAACUACGAGGGAUCUAUGGAUGCCUCCCAGGUCCCUGAGAACUGGCCUCACGACGGCGAGAUAAAGAUCCAUGACCUGUGCGUGCGCUACGAUCCCAUGCUGAAGCCGGUGCUCAAACACGUCAACGCCUACAUCAAGCCGGGCCAGAAGGUGGGGAUCUGCGGCCGCACCGGCAGCGGGAAGUCCUCUCUGUCUCUGGCCUUUUUCAACAUGGUGGAUAUUUUUGAAGGGAAGAUCGUCAUCGAUGGGAUCGACAUCUGUAAGCUUCCUCUGCAGACCCUCCGGUCCAGACUCUCCAUCAUCCUGCAGGAUCCGGUGUUGUUCAGCGGCUCCAUAAGGUUUAAUCUGGAUCCAGAGCGAAAGUGCACGGAUGACCGCCUGUGGGAGGCGCUAGAGAUCGCUCAGCUUAAGAACAUGGUGAAGGCGCUGCCUGGAGGACUUGACGCGGUGGUGACCGAAGGUGGAGAGAACUUCAGCGUCGGCCAGCGGCAGCUCUUCUGUUUGGCCAGAGCCUUCGUCAGGAAGAGCAGCAUCCUCAUCAUGGAUGAAGCCACGGCGUCCAUAGACAUGGCCACGGAAAACAUCUUACAGAAGGUCGUGAUGACGGCGUUUGCAGACAGAACCGUCGUUACGAUCGCCCACCGAGUCUCCUCCAUCUUGGACUCGGAGCAGGUGCUGGUCUUCUCCUCGGGCAUCCUGGUGGAAAGUGACUCGGGUCCCAACCUUCUAGCGCAGGAGGAGAGCCUCUUCGCUGUGCUAGUGAGGACCCACAAGUAGACCCGGACCAGCUCAGACCCACUCCUCUCUGUCCGCUGGUUUCUGGCUGCUUUCUUGCUUUUCCCGGCUGAAUCUGAGCUGGAGUCUGGGUCUGCUAAAGCCUUACUGCCUCUCACUGCCUGCACCGUGUCCACACCAUCCUGACCGCAGAUCUGGUCAUUGUGAUGAAGAGAGGCAACAUCCUGGAGUACGACAAGCCGGACACUCUGUUGGAGCAGGAAGACGGGAUGUUCGCUUCAUU